rnacentral:rRNA from 1 species
UACGGGGGGAGCAAGCGUUGUUCGGAUCUACUGGGCGUAAAGGGCGCGUAGGCGGCGUGACAAGUCACUUGUGAAAUCUCCGGGCUUAACCCGGAGCGGCCAAGUGAUACUGUCGUGCUAGAGUGCGGAAGGGGCUACUGGAAUUCUCGGUGUAGCGGUGAAAUGCGUAGAUAUCGAGAGGAACACCUGCGGCGAAGGCGGGUAGCUGGGCCGACACUGACGCUGAUGCGCGAAAGCCAGGGGAGCGAACGGG